GAUGAAGAACGUAGCGAAAUGCGAUAAGUAAUGUGAAUUGCAGAAUUCAGUGAAUCAUCGAAUCUUUGAACGCACAUUGCGCCCGCCAGUAUUCUGGCGGGCAUGCCUGUUCGAGCGUCAUUUCAACCAUCAAGCCCCCGGCUUGUGUUGGGGACCUGCGGCUGCCGCAGGCCCUGAAAAGCAGUGGCGGGCUCGAUGUCACACCGAGCGUAGUAGCAUACAUCUCGCUCUGGGCGUGCUGCGGGUUCCGGCCGUUAAACCACCUUCAUAACCCAAGGUUGACCUCGGAUCAGGUAGGAAGACCCGCUGAACUUAAGCAUAUCAAUAAGCGGAGGA
rnacentral:misc_RNA from 1 species